rnacentral:misc_RNA from 1 species
GAUGAAGAACGCAGCGAAAUGCGAUACGUAAUGUGAAUUGCAGAUUUCAGUGAAUCAUCGAAUCUUUGAACGCACAUUGCGCCCACUAGUAUUCUGGCGGGCAUGCCUGUUCGAGCGUCAUUUCAACCAUCAAGCCCUAGGCUUGCGUUGGAGCCCUGCGGCUGCCGCAGGCUCCCAAAUCCAGUGGCGGGCUCGUCGUCGUACCGAGUGCAGUAAACAUCCUCGCUCAGGGAACGUGACGGGUUCUUGCCGUGAAACCCCCCACAUAUCAAGGUUGACCUCGGAUCAGGUAGGAAUACCCGCUGAACUUAAGCAUAUCAAUAAGCGGAGGA